CCACUUCCUGCCCUCAUUCUGAACUUACUUUAACCGCUUGCUGCUGAUGUAUCCAAAAAUUCUGAGCUUUAGCACUUGUUACUACAGGAUUUACUGCCCUGCAGAGAAACCUCUGUCAGUAUUACACAAGGAGGCCUGUUUUGCAAAUCCUGGACAGCAAUGUUUUUUCUUUCAUACAGUUUUAUUUUAGUCCAGAAUAACUUGACUUUAAGUAAGAAUAUGGUAUUCAUAGAGUCACACACACACAAGCUAAGAGUGGAUCAGAUAAUUUGAAAUACAAUUUUUUUAAAUCAUUUUUUUGCUUUUCAUAAAUAUUAUUUCUCUUGCCUGUUAGAAAUGCAGACAUUUCUCUAUCCCAAGGUAUCUGGGUAUUGACACAGAUUAAGCUAAGCAACAUAAUAUGCCCAGAUAACUUCUUACCUUCUUUGUUUAAUUCCAUUUUACCAUUUGUCUUCAGAAUAAUCAAAAGAAUGUGAAGAAAGUAGGGUAGAAAACAGUACACAAACAGAAUAUAUUAGCCUCAAUACUGAGGUAGUACCUAAAUUAAGGCACAGUUAAUAAAACAGAAAACCUGGAAGAACCACACCCUACUUUGAGACAUAAAUAACCUGUUGCAAGUGUAGAAUUAGUCUUCCCCUCUCACUUUAAUGGUGCCUCAUGACAUUCUACCAUCACUACAAAUACUCGCGCCCAGGGAUUUUCAGGAUUAAACUCCUUGAACACAAAUUUAUUGUAGCUUUGUCCUAUAUAAAGACUAUUGCAUCUCCCUUUUUGCCAUUGGACUCUUGUACUUUGCAUUUUCACAUCUAUGUUUUUGAGCACCCGGUUCAUAUAUGUAAGCCAGCAACUACGGUAUUGACUGAGAUAAUGCAUCCAGUAACAGGUAUGCAUGUUGUACUCAGCUUACAAUAUAUAUAUACAAGGCAGGAAUUACUAUGAUAGCAUAAGUGUUUUAUUUACAUCCUUAAGCAAGUUUUACAGUUACCCUGAACAUUAUAUCAGUAAAAAUUUUACACAGCUGAGAUAUACCAUGAUGGAGAAAAACGCUUAAAAAGUAGAUUUAUGAACUACACGUAUGGUACGUUGCAAUUACAGGUAGCUAUUGUCAGGAAAACCCAAGCUCCCCUAUCAAAAUUAAGCACCUCCGUCUUUAAGAGACACCACAUGGAGUUAGCAGAUUGGUUCCUCCUUCCAUUUCAGAUGAACCUCCAGUACCUACCAUCUGCAUUUUCCCAUCCACUUGAGCACUAGGUUCAAGUUCUGAGGAACCCCUGGGUGGGUGCUACUCAUCAUCCCCUGUGCCUGGGACACCGUACCAUGUUCAAAGCUGGAGGUCUAUAGGGGAAAUGGGAAGUCACCAGCUUUCAGAUUUCCACAUCUUUUUAGUCACCCUCCCCUAUCUGCUUGACAGCGUUCCCCAUUUGACCUUCCCACCUAGCACUGUGUGGCUAUCAUAUCUGCAAAUUUCAGCGAAAGCCCCCUUCAUCUAAGCUAAGGGGUGGAAAAGUCAUGAGAGGGAAAGCUGUUCCCCGUUGUUUACUACUGAGCAAUUACCUUGUGUCAACAAAAAAUUCUUGAUAUUAUUAAGAAUGACAAAUUGCCUCUGCUUGUGUAAGAUACUCAGAACUGCUCAAGUCAGGAGUACAGACGCACAGGCCAUUAGGAAACAGCUGGCUACUGUAACCCUGUGGUCUAGAAAACAUUAUGUCUACUUCUGUACACAUUUAAAUAAAUCUGGCUGAUCCAGGUGAAAUAAAUUACCUUAAAGGUUGAUUUGUUAAUUGGGAACAAAACAUUGCUCUAUGAAACCUUAAUUAAGAAGCAUUUAGCUGUGACUAAUGUUAGUUAUGCACAAUCUUUAGCAUUAUUAAGUAGGGUUCUGUUAAAUCAUUACUGCGUGGCUUUUUCAGUGUCUCUCAGUAAGAUACAUUUGUACAAGGCUAAACUAAAUGAAGUCCUACCUCUCCAGAAAUUUUCAGCAAAAGCCAUUAAGAAAUAUGUAAAUCAAUUCAGUGAGCACUCGAGACAAAAAUCAAUCUCAGUGGAAAAGCAGAAAUAUCAUACUUUACACAGGAUUAUGCAGUAAUUUCAUGGGCUGGUUUCUCUGUCACAGCACUUGCUAGACAGUCCUUAUACACAAGUAGACAGAUGGAUUGUGAAGAAUUAGGAAAUUUGAAGCAUGUCAAAAUAAAGAGACUCAGGGCUUUUUUUUCCCCCUUUUUUAUUCUAUCAGUUCUGUGACAGCACAAAUUAUCAUCCCAGUGCAGCAUGUAAGUGUGCUUGACUUUCAUCACAUUAAAAGUAAAAUCUCCAGAUGUGCUCCUGCGGUGCUAAUUACCAUGAAACAGAACCACAUCCAGAUCCAGAAAAGAGGAAUUUUUCUCAGGAAGGAAUUUUUCAAGAGAAGGAGAGAGAGGACAGUUAAAUUUCAAGCCAAGUUUGCCCAUUCAAACUUCAAAAGUUUUAUAAGCACAUAAGAACCCUUUUAUCACAAAAAAGACAAACCUGAAACUGCAGAUGCAAACUCACUUCUGUGAGUUUGAUUACGCUUCCACAGCAUGGAAAACGCACAUGCGUAUCAGACAAAAUUUAGAAAGCACUAUGUGACAACAAAAUGAGAAAUGGAGCUAUGGCAGUAACAGUUAUAAAUAAAAAUAUGUGCAAACCAAUUUGAAGAUGUUUGAAUUGAGAACAUUAAAAAUGAAAUUUCCAAAGAGAAAUCUCAAGAAAUGUCCUUUAAAACACUCAACACUUUUUCUUGUAAAGUUUUGUGUCAAAAUCCUAGUCUAUGAUAUUUAGUACAUGCUUUUAAGCUUUAUACUGUAUUCAGUGUAUUGUGCUAUGUAAAUUAUUUAACUAUGCUUCACAAGCUAUUUUGUAUAUCAGCAAUCCAUGUGCACCACCAUUCAGCAUUUAAACAAACAAAAAUCCACUAACAGAAAGAUUUGCCUUCUCAAAUAAAUCAAAUGUGGUUUCAAAACUGAUUUUUUGCACCCUCCCCUUACAGGAUCACAACAGCUGCUUGCAUGAUGGAUCUACACAGAUAUCCCCUGGAUGAACAAAACUGCACACUAGAAAUUUAUGGAUACACCACUAAUGAUAUUGAAUUUUACUGGAAUGGAGGAAAGUCUGCAGUAACUGGAGUUAGUAACAUCGAGCUCCCACAAUUUUCUAUAGUUGAUUACAAGACGGUAUCAAAGAGAGUAGAGUUCACAACAGGAAUCACAAAUGUGCUGACCAUGACCACUAUCAGCACCCACCUCAUGGAGACACUGCCAAAGAUUCGCUACGUUGAGGCAAUAGAUAUUUACCUGAUGCUAUACCUUUAGCUAUAGAAGGUCGUAGAGAAUAAACAUUUGCUAUACAGUUCCCUUUCAUAUGCUAAAAGCUCACCACAAGUAGACAGAAAAGAUAGGUGCUGUUUCUUCAGGGAUUCUCGAACAAAGCCUACACCACUGAAUUCUCAGGAAUUCAAGAACUCUACCAGAUUAUAACAGCUUUCACAGAUGUUAGGAUUUUUUCCUCAGACUAAAUUCAAGUAGAUCACGUCUACUCUUCCUUAUAUAUAUAUUUAUUAAAAUAAAUAAAUAAAUAAAUAAAUAAAAAGACAAACUUCAGGAAGUACUUCUACUGCUAUUUUCUCUACAGGAAAAAGUUAAAUUUACCAAUACGUCGCUGAACACCUGCAGAUUUCUGUAAACCUAUUCCAGUUUUGCCCAAAUUUCAGAAAUAAACUUUUCCCUAAUUAUAUUUGACCUAGUCUGACUCAGUGAAAAAUACAUACUGUAGUGAACCAAAAAAAUUCUUUCUUAUCUCUGAUUUUCUGAAUACAUAUUCCAUCUGGAAGGAUCCUAUCCAAGCUACCUUGUAUGCUUCUGCACUGUUGUUGAGGUGAUCGCUUUUGGUCUAAAUAUUUGGGCUCUCUGUUCAGACCAAAGAAUAAGACCAACACAAUACACUCUUACCAGAUAAGCCAUUAGUUUGAUGGAUGAUUGUAAUUUUACAUUUAUGUCAGGAAGUGCAUUUCUAAAAUUCUGAUAUUUUCUUAAUCCUGGAGUUGUGUGUCUACCUGGAUGUCCUGUGUUCUUGCAGUCACAACACUGCAGCUAAGCACCAUGCUGUCAUUCCCAGCAAAAUCAUGAGUCUAUUAAAAGUCCUUACCUUCAUUCACGUCCUGGUCAAGUACACAAGAUGCUCUAUUACAACAGCUACAAAAUUCAGCUCAGGUUUACAGCAGUCUCUGAGGCCACAAAAUAUUAUUCCAUACAGAGCUGAGGAGAUAUGGAUCAUUGUUUCCAUUAUAGACUGUUCUGUGUGGAUACUGUCAAUCUGUUUCUAUAGAAAAUAAGAAAGAAGAAAAACAAGAUCCACAAACUUGAACCAGCCUCUUUCACAGCUCCUGGGCUAACCCAGCCUGGGUGAAACAAAGCACAAGUGUUCACAAUGAAGAGUGAUGUGUUGACUAUGUGGGUCCCAGUGCAUACACCUGAGUUGGGAUAAGAGAGUCACAGCACAGGCAGAAUGCACAUGGUCGGAACCAGAAGGGACACAGUAAGCUUGUCUGAUCCCAGUGAAGACAGUUCCCAGCUGCUGUCCAUCAGCUUCUGAAAUUUUUCAGUGAUAUUACGAUGGUUUGUACCAGGGCAGAGCCUCUUCAGAACUCAAAAGAAAUACAGCUGUGAAGAUUCUGUUUCCAUCUGACAUGCAACCCUCCCAGCUGAAAGAGUUUUACUUCCUUCACUGGAUAGCCAAAACAUCAGAUACGUGAGGAAAAGAGGAAACUGGUCUGGAUAUUAGUACAGAAAAGAUCACUCAGAAACUGAUAUCAUCCUGCUGUUCUGUAUGUAGGGGUUCCCUGCACUACAGAGUGAAUAAGAUGAAAAGAGGCCACUCUAGUUUUACAAUACAUACCAUUUUAUAUUUUAAUACACAGGAAAAAAAAUGUAUUAAACAAGCUUUCUGUUUCUCUGAAUAAAAUGUAAAAACUUCUUCUAUCUCCUUGUCUGUUUGUCAAAGGAAGAUGUCACAGAAGAAAUCAACAUAACUGUGGAUAAAUAGGAUUCAUCUCUGACCAUGUUGGUAAUGUCAUCCUUGGGUCUCUAGUAUAGCCCUUCUCUGCCAUACUACUGCCAGCAUACUCAGCCUAAAGUCCAUGCUAAAUUAGCACAGAUUAAACAUUACAGAUAUUUCAGGAAGUCGCAUUUAUGCACACUUUCAAAAGGCAAAAAUUAUGUGAUUUUUCACGCCCCUGGCAUUUGUAAGGCUCUUUGCUCUGAAUUGCAAAGCUUGCAAUUCAAAGUCUGAAUUGCUUCAUGAUGCAUACAACUCAUCCCACCUAAAAUGAUUUAAAUAAAACCCAUUUAAAAAAAAAAAAUGGGAUAAUUCAUAACACUUAGUUUAGGAACUCAUACAUUGCUUGGCUUGUAAUAAACUGUCAGGGCAUAUUAGUUUGAGAAAAAUCUCUGUGAAUCAAUUUAAAUUGUAAGCACUUAUGUGUUGUCUUUACAAGAGAGAAGCGAUAAUACUGCCUAACGAUGCUUGCACUGCUGUCACCACUGUUACAGCACUAAAGUAAAUUAGCUUACACAUUAGAUUAUGCAAUCAAAGGCAGCUCAUGUAACUAUUCAGUAAAACUGAGGAGAAAACAUCGACCCAUCAAAAACUUCUCAGAAUUAAAAAAGAAAUCUAAUUUUACAUGGCAAUCUGAGACCUUUGCUUUUUCCACAGAAAAUAUCAGAAUUUGAGAGUCAUUUAUAGGUAAAGGAUUCCUCUGGAGAGUAGGAAACCCUAGUUUAGAGCAUCUUCCUGCUUAAAUUAAAAGACUUGGCCUGAAAAGUAGAACCUGGGUUCCACUUUUAUCUACCCAUAUCUCAAAUAAAUACUGCAAACACCACACUGGUCUGGGACCAGCUGGCCUCCCUACCCCAGAAUAUGCAAAGUGGUGGGAACUGUGACAUUCCUGGUGAUUGCUCAUUUCACUGUGUUGUAAAGAAUCAGUUGCUAAGCCUGACUAAGUGAAUGUUAUGUCUGUGGAAACUUUAUUUCUCCUUCUAGAAAGCUUUUUACAGACAUCCCCCUCACUUCAUCGUUUUCAGUGAGCAAGGACUUGCAGUGGCACAGUGUAAAUGUUACAGUCUUAUCCUGCACCAUUUCCUCCCCAGGUGAUGGGGAGGAGCAUCUGGUACUGCCUUCCAGCUGUCCUCCACCUCAGCUCUUGAGGACUGUGUGCUCAACUUGGAGUUUUACUUGAAUGUACUUCAAAAUUGUUGUAGGUUAUGCUAAUUCCUAGCUCUCCUACAUCUUGCUAAAAAGGUAAAGACCAGAGCAUGAACAAAGUGAGGCAUAUCACAGAGGUGCUUCACUGGACUACAUAUUGGCAACAGGUGAUUUAUUUUUUUUUCCUUUGUAUGAAGGUAUUUGCACAGAGUCUUCGUAUUGAUUUUGGUAUAUCUGGGGCAGGUGUAAGGCUGCAGCUUACAAAAGCCAAACAUAACAUGCAAGUCUCAAGGCCAAGUCUUAAAAGUUUCAUGUAAGAGGUCUGUUUUCUGUUGAGUAUUUCCUUUCUAUGAGCUACAGUGGAAGUUUACCUGGAAAUUUGAAAUAUCGUAGAAUUCUUCACAAGGCUUUACUACAAACAUGUAGUAAAGAUCUUCAUCCAAAGAUGAGUGCAAAAGUAAACCCUUUGUAGUAAUGCAAUCACUUAUGUUCGAUCACUUGUACAUGAAAAAAAACAAUGAUAUUGAAACAUCUAUGUGUUUACAUAGACACAGUUUGUGCCAGACACAUACAUGACAGUUGCAGUUUGCAGUUCUUUUCUCAAGCACAUAAAACAAUAUAAUAAACAACAGAAAUAAACAUAUUUGAAAUAACUUCUGGUAACAACAUAAAAAAAUACAACUGCAUAUAAGAUUUCAUUGAGUAAAAUGGAUUAUUAGUCUGUAUGCAGAUGAGCAAAUUAAUGGUAUGCUGUGGGGAGCAGAGAUUUCCAUCUCUACCACAGAUUCAUUCUCCAGAAUUGAUUUUCAUCACAAGCUUUAUACGAUAACUGAUAUAAUGCACAUGUACCUACAUGUUCUUCACAUGAUGAACCCACCAUUACAAAAACUCUUCUUGAAACUACCCCACAGCACCAAAACUGUAUGAAAAUGACAGAGACUGGAGCAUUUUAUUUUCACCAUCUAUCUGUGAGACAGCUUGGGCCGGCUGAGGAACCUAUCUAACUGAUAUUCCUUCCUUGGCACAGGUUGAGCCCCAGGGAAACAUGCUGCUUAGCACACUGAACAUAAGAUAUGAUGUCAGCUGCUCAGAUGUGUUCUUGAGCUGUCGUGAUGCCCAAGGCUCCAUGUACACAUCUGAUGGUGCCGGCCUGCAGCACAGAAGGGCCCCUUCUGGCAGGGCCCUCUAUACCAGGAGCGCGCUGGACACGCACAGGCUUCAUCAGAAAGGGCACUUGCAAAGGAGGGCAUCCCAGAUGAGAGUCAAGAUACCGAACUUGACUGAUGUCAAUUUCAUAGACAAGUGGUCCAGGAUGGUCUUUUCCAUCACAUUUAUUCUUUUCAAUGUUGUUUACUGGCUGUAUCAUGUACACUUAUGUAUGCAAUAAUGUUAAUAUACACUAACAUAUAGAGGCUUGUUUCUUUUCUGUCUCAGUUUUGUUAACUAUGAAGAUCUGCAGUAACCAUAACGUGAUAUUUUCAAGGUAAGGUACCAACCCAAUGAAUACCUCUAGAUCUAAGCUUUCAUAGCAAACACUCAAAUAAAUGAAAAACCAUCCACGUUCAUCACAUUCCAAUCAGAAUACUACUAAAUUGUUUAAUUUCUACAGUUAGUGCCUCACUCACAACCUUCCUGCAUCUGCUGUUGUCUUUUUUUUUUUUUUAAGUGGAAUAAAAUUCAGCCACAUACUGUAAUCCUCUGGCAGCAGAGGUCCAAACAAGAUAGUAAAAUGACUCAAAGUAGUCAUCAUGUCACAGUCUUUAAGUAUUAAAAGCAUAAAGAAAUCAGAAGAAAUAACUUUUUAAAAAUUAUAACUGUUACAUCACACAGCAUUUCAAAAUAAAUAGUUCUACUAAAAAGUGUUUUCAUGAAAGAGAUAUUAUUCAAGGAGAUAUAAGGCAACUCGUAUUUCAGAGAGGCUGGGAUCUUCAAAGGAAAGAAAGGGAAGCAGAGACAAACUCCACUGAGUUUCCAACCAUGGAAUCAGAGGUUUGGACCUAACUGGAAUUUUGUUGUUUCCACAAAGUAGCAAAGUUGAAAUUGGUAAGAACCUGUAUGCCAUCUGUAACUUUGUAUUAGAAUCAGAAAAUGUCUUAAUUCCGGGAAGCAAUUGCUGCAGGAUACUCCAGACCCAAAGCAGACCAUUUUCUUGGCUCUCAGAUUUCCUGUGUCCAGUAAUUGCAACACAUCUUCCCAAGAGCUAGCAGAGAUCUGGGAACAGAUCACACAAGAGUUCUGCACAUAGGGUCCUACAGAUUUCCUGACUCUGAUGAAGAACAGAAGACACAGCCGAGCCUCAAGGCAUACUAGUGGUGCUGGACACAUGGCUCUUCCAACUCUCAGAGCUCAGAUUAGGCCAACACCACUACCCGUUGCCAGACAUAAACCCAGGCAAGGAGCCAAGCCCCAGUAAGCUGCCUUCAGCUGAGGAGUAGUAAAUCAGCCAUCUCCUACCUGCAGCAAACCUUCUAACAGUCUAGAAACAGUCUAGAAUGAUAAAUGCCCAAGAAUGGGAAUAACUUCACUGCAUUUAUUACAAAAAAUGUGAAGCUGCCAACAGGUAUUUGGCAUUGCUAAUCCAGUGGGGUACUUGAGUCUACCAGUUUUGUUGUGGAUUCCAAGGUCUCAAUCUCAUCCCAUGAUCAAUGGAGCACUGAAAUGGUCUCAACCUUUAAGAGAAUAGUUGCUGUGGCAGCUCAGAGAUCACUGCACACCUGCCUGAUUUCAAUAGUGAUUUCUCUGUGUGCUAUAAGUACUGAAACACCAGCAAAGACUCCUCUGAUGGUCUAAUGUACCUUCAGCCUAAGGCCAAAACUGUAACUCUAACUUUGCAUAUAUGUAUCCAUCUGCUGCUAUCAGUAAUAAAGGGACCCAAUGUCAAAUGCAGUCUGCAACUCACUCUUAAGAAACAGUACCUAACUAUAACACUCAAGAUCAUCUAAACCAAAAGGGAAAAGGGAAAAAAAGCUUUCAGGUGCUAACCUGCUCCUGUUAACCUCUCUCCAGCUCAGGAAUGUCAAACGAGUUCAACUGAUUGGACAGAGUCAAUGGCAGAGUAGAAAUAAGGUCCAUGAAAACAGAGGUAGCAAAUGAAAUAUAAUAGAUUCAAAGACAGACAUAUCUGGAAAUAAAUUCAAAGAAAGCAACAUAUUCUGUAUAUUGGUAUUGCAAGAUGUGAAAAAUAGUUUUUGCACUAAUUUCCCAAAGAUAUUCCCAGGAAGGCCACAUCAGUUCCAGUGGUAUAGAGAUAUUACAACCCCUCUUUCCCACUACAGCAAUGUGAGCAUUUGGCUUAUAGGUGAAGCCAACAUCCAAUGGAACACCGAAACAAGAAUUUAAGUGAUAAUAAAGGAUACUUUGCCUUCUGUUACAAGUUCAAAGAUCUGCUCUAGAUCUUCAACAUUUUUUUCUUGUGGGCUCCUAGCAUCUGGAUACACACAGUUUCUAAUGUAUGUGUCAUCCAGUUUGUUCAAUCACAGAUAAUAGCAGUGGGCUACAAUACAUUAAAUGUACAGCAUCAAGCCAAGAAAAGAACUGAGCUGAGGAUGGGUCAUUUACAAAGAGCUGUGACAAUGCAACACUCCUUCAGUGGGGCACAUUCCAAAAUAGCAGGCUCCAACUUACCAUACCAUGAGUCCCCCAACACUCGGCACCAACAGGAACUCCAGGAACCCCAGCCUUGAUAUAGGUUUUGUACAGCAUGCACCCAUCCCUGGCUGUGCUGGGAGCUGAAAGCCACCAUCCAGAGUGAGGAAACAGCCAGGGGCUGUCAGCAGGUUUGGCAGCAGGGGCUAAUGGUUGUUUCACAAAAACAGACAAGAGGCCCUUACUGCAGGUUAGCAACAUCUCAUCCCAGGGCCAGCAUCUUCAGCCUUUCACACAGCUCCUUCCAGCCCAUUUAACCGCUUGACUCUGGUAGGGAAAACAGAAUUUGACACACAAGAUUGAAAGGCACGUUUCAUAUAGACUAAAACCACUUUCUAGCCUCAAAAGAGAAUUAAACCAAAGCCUGGGAAUAGCUAGCAUAUUUUCCAUUUUUUCAGCUGUUUUUUGGCAAAAGGGAAAAAAGAAAAAAAAAAAGCAGAACACACUUCUCACUUUAGAGCAAAAUAGCUUGCCAGUAAGGAAAAAGCAGAGGUUAUGAGAGACAGGGGUUGGAAAAGUGCAGCUAUACAUGGGGAGCCUGUGUCCAUUGCCAUCUGCUGUUGGAAGCUGGUGAGUGCAAAAGAAAAACAGCCUCUUCCCAGCAAAAGGCUGCAGUCAUCUGAGUGGCUUUAAGCAAUAAAGGUGAGUAAUAGACACUUCAGCUCUAUACUCCUUAGGAACAGACUUUCAGCUCAGUGUAGAUUAGGUGCUAUUGCUAAUUAGGUUUCAGCUAAGCUCUCCCUUACAAUAUGUGCAGCUAUUUCAUGCAAUUUUUGAAUGUUAAUAGAUUUAAAUAAACUUGCAUUGGACUCCUUCCUAGCUAGGCUUCCCAAAGAUGAAUCUUCUACUAUCAUUACAUGUGUAUAUGUGUGUACAACUAUCUGAGAGUCUGCUAAUAAUAUUUCACUCCACUGGCAAUUUCAUGCUAAAGGCAACAGAAGAGUAAGGGCGUGUGAGGUAUGACAAUCAUACAAGUUUCAUCAGAGCAGAGGACAAAGUUGUUAAUCCAUGCCUCUUCUCUGGAACAAAGGGAACCCCAGCCUUACUAGUCAUUGGAGAAUACACAUGGGACCACAAUUCAGUACCCAAAUCCAGAGGGAAAUGGGGUUCAUUGGUUCUUAUGUUCUUAAAACUAUUUUUUCACAGUUAUAAUAAUCUUUUAGAUUCAUUCCAGCCUUCUCUUCAGCAGUAUUCCACCUAAAUUAUGAUUGAAACAGCAAGUGCUAAACUGAUAACACGUCUAGAGCUUGCAGCUCUCUGAGAACAGAGCUGAUCCACCUGAUGGUUCACAUCUGUGAAACAUCUUGCUGUCUGUUGUGACCUAUUUAAACACACACGACCUGACGCUAGGUAUACUUCCCCUCACGGUCCACCAUCAAAGAUACCCCUGUUGACAUGCAGCAGCCUCCAGUUAAUAAAUGUUCCAGAUCUCCCAGUACCUUUUAUUACCACAGUGCCUUGUAAAAGCCCACACGAUGACUCUUUGUGAGGUUUGCCUGCUUUUCUACAUCAUGACAGGGGUCUCUUGUUCUUUCUGUAGAGGUCUCAAAGUAGGUACAAAGAACAAACGUAUAGGAAUUCUGCCAAACAUAAGUAAAGUGGAUUGAAAGAAGUAAAAAAAAUUAUAUGCUAACCUGAUGCACUUAAGAAAGCAUUCUCCAACAGCAGAGAAUGAAAAAUCCUUUUUUUUUUUCCUAACACUUCAUUAUUAAUUCACAAUUCCAACUGUUAGUGAAGUUACUGUUCCUUCCAGAUAAAAACACAAUGACAUCAAUGUGCUUAUCAGAAUGAUCUAGGAAAUUUUCCACAGGCUAACAGAGGUAUGCAUCUUCUAAGAACACGGCAUUCUACCAUACACAAUUGCUUUGUUGCACUUCCAUACUGCCAGCUUGCUGGUCUGAUCCAAUGCUGAUUUACUGUAGCGUGUCUGAAAUGACUGAUCAAGAGAAACAUCAUUUUCUGAAAUCACAGGAAGAUUUUCUGUGAAAUGGAGAGAAGUGCAGUGAAUGCCAAUGGAGGGAAAGUAACAUUACUUUUAUAACUCACUUCUAUACUUUUGAAUGAAGAUACACUGCAUUUUCUGAUUCAACUAGUCUGUUUAUGCAACCCGAAUUUCUGUAGGUGCUUUUUGGAUGCUGAAAUUAAAAGUUCAUUCAGUGUGUGUGUGUGUGCAUUCAUUACAUGUAGCAUUUUUGUUAGGGCUUUUAGUUCAAAGAGCCUACUGUACAAAGUCUAGUUUCUGGUCUUAAUUACAUUUAAUAGAGGUCUCUUUAUGAUACCUGUAAAACCACAGGAAAAUGAGAAUAUAGUUAAGAUGGUUGAUUUUCCCUUUUUCCACUUGAAUAUACUCUACAUUUGGAGAUACCACUGUUCCAUAAAACCCUUAAAACUGUGACUCUUACAUGUGACAAUUCAGGAAUGAUUGAGUGAAGACGAAUGAGCUCAGUAAAGAGGAGUUCUACUUUUGUCAUUUGGGAGAGUACAGCUGCAUACUUCACUGCCACAGAAAACUGCAGGACCCAAAACAAACUGCUCCCCAGCAGGUACAAACUGCACUGUAAGAGGUUUUGUCUGGAUGGAAAGACUUUUUACAGUGAGAACACCCCAGGAUGUGGUAGAAUCCCUAUUCACUGGAGGUUUUGAAGAUGAGCUUGGACAUGGUGCUACACAAUUGCAGCCAGGCUCCUUUUUCCCAUGAAAGGCUGGACCUGGUGACCUUUUAAAGUCCCUUCUAAUCUGUGCUGUUCUAUGAGACAAUACGAACAUAUAUCACUGAAACAGCCUUUUCUUGCUUCAGAAGUACCUGCUUCUCUGAGCAGAGAGAACUCUGAGCUUCUCUGAGACAGAACAAAACCAUCUUCUGCUAGAGGGUGCGAAGCACAGAGCAGCAAAUGCUCUUCUUUAAUCUGUUUGGUCCACUUCCUUUCAACCGACAGGAGGCCAUUAUAUGGCUAAAACAUGAAGGCUUGCUUCCCUGUUGAGAUUCAAGGUCAGCAUGCAUGUUUCUUCAAAUGUUAACCUAUGACAGCAAUACUUCAUGUCCUAGUUUUUAACUGCUCUCUUUAGCUAUUCACAGAUUAUUGAAGUUUGCUCACUAUCAAAAACAUUUGUAUGAUUACAUGAAUAAUACUCUUUCAGUAAAAUCCAAUAUUUACAUACAAAACAGCUCAUUGUACAUUAAUUACUGUCAAAACAUAACAGAAAUUGUUUCAUCUUUUUAAAAACAACAACCAAAAAACAAUUCUGCAGCCUUUUCUGUUCAGUGCUGCAGUAAAGGGCAGGACAAACAAAAGAUGAUACUAAAGAUGAGAUACCACAGCAUGCCUCUAGUGUAAUUACAAAUCCAUUUGACAUAACUUGCUACUAAACUUAAAAUGCAGCUUUGUACACUCUUACAACUCUGUAUUACUAAGACAAAGUCUGAAAGGGCAUUUAGUUGUAUCUGCAUUUUAAAAAUUGCUUUCUAUCAGCCAGAUAUGUAGCAGAUUUUUCAACAGUAACAGAACUUGUAUUUUCUGGCCUUUUAUUGUUCAGAAAACAUCAAACUAUUCCGAAUAAUUUAUUUUUGAGCAACUGGUAUCCAAAAACUCAGUAACCAACUGGUUGAGCAGGAAGGC